rnacentral:rRNA from 1 species
UCGAACGGUAACAGGAAGCAGCUUGCUGCUUCGCUGACGAGUGGCGGACGGGUGAGUAAUGUCUGGGAAACUGCCUGAUGGAGGGGGAUAACUACUGGAAACGGUAGCUAAUACCGCAUAACGUCGCAAGACCAAAGAGGGGGACCUUCGGGCCUCUUACCAUCGGAUGUGCCCAGAUGGGAUUAGCUAGUAGGUGGGGUAACGGCUCACCUAGGCGACGAUCCCUAGCUGGUCUGAGAGGAUGACCAGCCACACUGGAACUGAGACACGGUCCAGACUCCUACGGGAGGCAGCAGUGGGGAAUAUUGCACAAUGGGCGCAAGCCUGAUGCAGCCAUGCCGCGUGUAUGAAGAAGGCCUUCGGGUUGUAAAGUACUUUCAGCGGGGAGGAAGGCGAUAAGGUUAAUAACCUUGUCGAUUGACGUUACCCGCAGAAGAAGCACCGGCUAACUCCGUGCCAGCAGCCGCGGUAAUACGGAGGGUGCAAGCGUUAAUCGGAAUUACUGGGCGUAAAGCGCACGCAGGCGGUCUGUCAAGUCGGAUGUGGAAUCCCCGGGCUCAACCUGGGAACUGCAUUCGAAACUGGCAGGCUAGAGUCUUGUAGAGGGGGGUAGAAUUCCAGGUGUAGCGGUGAAAUGCGUAGAGAUCUGG